GGAGGGUGCAAGCGUUAUCCGGAUUCACUGGGUUUAAAGGGUGCGUAGGCGGGCAGGUAAGUCAGUGGUGAAAUCCCCGAGCUUAACUCGGGAACUGCCAUUGAUACUAUCUGUCUUGAAUAUUGUGGAGGUAAGCGGAAUAUGUCAUGUAGCGGUGAAAUGCUUAGAUAUGACAUAGAACACCUAUUGCGAAGGCAGCUUACUACGCAUAUAUUGACGCUGAGGCACGAAAGCGUGGGGAUCAAACAGGAUUAGAUACCCUGGUAGUCCAUGCCCUAAACGAUGAUUACUCGACAUUAGCGAUACACAGUUAGUGUCUGAGCGAAAGCAUUAAGUAAUCCACCUGGGAAGUACGACCGCAAGGUUG
rnacentral:rRNA from 1 species